AGACCUGAUCCAGCUCCUCCUACCUGGGUGGAGUCAAACCAAAAAUCCAGGGAGUGGAGACAGACCUGGUCCAGCUUCUCCCACCUGGGUGGAGUCAAACCAAAAAUCCAGGGAGUGGAGACAGACCUGAUCCAACUUCUCCCACCUGGGUGCAGUCAAACCAAAAGUCCAGGGGGUGGAGACAGUCCUGAUCCAGCUCCUCCUACCUGGGUGGAGUCAAACCAAACGUCCAGGGGGUGGAGACAGACCUGAUCCAGCUCCUCCUACAUAGGUGGAGUCAAACCAAAAGUCCAAGGGGUGUAGACAGACCUGAUCCAGCUUCUCCCACCUGGGUGGAGUCAAACCAAACGUCCAGGGGUGCAGACAACUCAGUAUUGUAUGUGUUGUGAGUUAGAGUUAGGAAUUAGUGGUUAGGGCUAUCAGAGGCGUUAUAGCAGGUCCAGCUCCAACCCAUGGACUUUUGCUUCUGCAGUGAGGACUUUCUUGUUGGUGCAUUCGGAUGGACCAGUAUUCCCAGGAUAGACUCCGGAUCCACACUGACCCUUGACCAGGAUAAAGUGGCUACUGAAGCAGGCUCAACCUAACAGAGCUUUGAAGUGCGACUACAAAGAGCAGGAAUGAAGAAACAGCCCAGAGUCAGGAAAGAACACAGAGAGAAGAUGUCUCCUGGGGAGGAGGACUGGGCAAGAAAGACGGAAACAGAAAGACAGAGAGUCUUCAAUAUAUCCAUGUGGAAGGAAGCGUAUGCUGUUCUAAGGAAAACAGGGAUUGGAGGAUGUCCCUGAGGAUCACACACACACAUACGCGCACAUACACACACCCUCAACCACGCUGACGCAACUCAGCUCCACUUCAGAGCAAUAUCUGGCUGACCUUACAGGAGCCUCUUACACCUCCUCUACUGUCACCAAGUACACACACCCUUUAGAAAGAAUAUGUGUGUGAGCGUGCAUACGAGUCUACGAAAAAGAGAACAUAAUAAAGAUAAACACAGGUGGGCUUGCUUCCACAGCCGUGAAUACAAAUCAGAGGCUACAGUGUGAUACAGCAGCAAGGAUCCCUUGAGGACUCGUUCAAUCUGAUUGCAUCAGGCUCUCCAACCCUGCCUCCUGCGCCUGCUCCGACUGCUUUCACACCUAUUAGUCAGAGUCCAUGUCAGAGCGAAAUUGACACUUUUGUUUCGUUUUCUAUUCGGAUUGGUUUGUUUUCAUGUUGCACAUCAUUAAGCAAACCAAAAUGAAAAAAAAAAGUAGUUUGAGGGACUGAAAACAUCCUCAUAAAGCUGUCAUUCACUGGCCAGAACUACAGCGACGGAAACUGGUAAACAAACUUUUGCCAAGUGUGUGUAGCCCCUGUAGGGCUGAAUGGUUCUGACCAAAAAGAGAAACUGUUCCAGUAAUAUUUCCACAUGAGCAUAGCGUAAGCCUGGAGUGUUUUCAGCAUGUUGUUUUUGGCAUUGUUAGCUAACUGUACUCCAAACGUCAUGUAGGUAUUCACCAUUUCUCUUUCCAAAAUGGAGAGAAAUACUACAACACCCCAUUUUAGCUACCAUCAGUCAGGCACACCAUAACAAUAAUAUGAAUAAACCGCCAUUAGAUAAACCCUAAAUAAUCAUGAUCUGCUGUAUGUCCUUGAUCUGCUGAGGUGUCAAGUUAACCACCGGACGAUUAAACCCACAGGUUUCUUUGGAAAAGUUAUAGCAGGAAAACUCACCAACAUACACCACAACAACAGCGAGGAAAACUUCAUGUAAACCUCGACCCUGAAACAUAUCAAAUAUAUCUAUACUGAAAUAUUUAUGAUGUGCUUAGCCAUUCUGAAUGCCAUUUCCUGCUUGGUGUCGUAGCUUCAUUAUUCCUGCGAGAAGUUAGCGGUUGUGUGCUGCUCUGACAUCAUAGGAAGACAAUUCCUAAAAACUCAAACUUGCUGUUAGCCCCAAAAAACUAUUUCUUUCUUUACUCACUCACCAUUUUCAGCAUUGUUAUCUUCCCAUAUUAAAGAGCAAUUUAAUGUAGAAGUGUGUAGCGGUUGAGGCAAACGUUUCAAAACGCAAUGCAGUUAUAUGACACAGCUACGACUCGGCUUGGCUAGGUAGCUAGUUAUCUAUGAGACAAUGAACAUGAUGGUGUUGGUGGUACUAGCAUGAAAGAUGAAGCUUUGGAAGCUAAUCUGUUUGAGCAGAUUGAGGAGGUGAGAGAGUUGGACAGACUAAAGGACUAAAGCACCGCUGCAUCGCUCUCUUUAAUUAGAAAUGAAGCGAGGGUUAAAUCCCACUGGCACCACUAUGAGCAAUAGUCGAUUGGCAUUGUGGGUAAUAUAGGAAACCGUCAACCAAAGUGAAAAUAGACCAACAUGUCUUUGAAAGAAGUUUCAACUGAAAAAAAAACAAAAAACGAAUCAGAGCAUGAGGUUGAGUUGUGGGGAAGAACAUGCUCUGAGAAACCAAAGUAUCUGACCUGUGCACAACAUCUAGGAUAUGAUGUCCAAAAUGUUUUAUCCAAACUGUUUUAUCUAUCUGAAGCUUUACACACCUUAGGAUGUUGCCUCAAGCAUGCAAGUUUAAUUGAGUUUCAGAAAGUACCUCACACUCACACACACACACACACACUCACACACUACACUACACAUGACAGUAGUUGUAUCCGCCUGCCUCUGGAGCCACAGUGUUUGACACUUCAUCUUUAGUCAAAUCUGCACGACUCCAAUGACUUAAGCCUCUUGCUUCGUAUUAUCACUCCACUCCACUCCACAGUGGCCCUAGUCAGAUCACACACACACCGAUAUCCACCUAUCUCUCUGGCCAGCUCUCCGUCUCACACACACUCCCAGAACUCACAGGGAAUGAUGGCAGGAAGAAGAAGGAAGCGAGGAAAAAAAGGAGUAUAUUUGGAGUGAAGUGUCAUUUUUAUCUGCUGGAGGCGAAGGGGGCCGGAGUGUGUCAGCAGCGAGGCAGGCAGAUGGCACACGGCUGUGGGUUAGAGAUUGGCUGGCGUGUGAUUUAUCUCACAGAGACAGAGAAUCUCCAGCAUCUCGAUGUGGAUGUGUGUGAGUGUGUAUGUGUAACAGAAAGUGUGUGGGCUGCGCGUAAUGGCACGGAGAGUGUGUGAUAAAGCAGCAGCCUGAAAUGGAGGUCAGAAAGUGUUCUAGUCGAAGACUGUCGAAUGAAGCAAUGCAUGUGUCCAUAUGAAGGCGGAAAUGCAUUUAACGUUGGGUCAGAGCAGCACACACACAGCACACUGGCGCAGGACUAAAGGGCAUCUGACUCACUGCGUGACUGACUGAUGAGACACAGUGAGAGUUACACAGCUUUAUAAAGCAACAGCAUGUAAAUAUAAACAUGACAUACCAUUAAUUACUUUAUAAUAAAACACAAAGGACCAUAUCUAGUAAUGCUUUCCACCACUGCACAACAUAUUUCAAAAUAAAUGAAAACAAACAAGUCUGGUAGUAUGUGUCUUUAGAUGAAAGAUGAGUUUUGUGCAUUCGCCUAAAUGAAUAGCAGACUUGGUAUUAAUGUCCUGGGAGAUAUUCUGGGUUUUUAAUGGCUACUAUAGAAAGUGCCACGUAUAAUAAAUACAAGUACAAUUAACAUCACUUGAAGUUUGACUUUGAUAUUGAAACUCAAAUAUUUAAAACUUUUUUUUUUUACAUCAGUGUUUGGUUGUGUUACGAUUUGGCUUGUUACGGUGUCCCGGUAUCAUGGUUAGCCAUGGUGUCUUAUUGCAUGGUUAUUACACCUAAUAUACCAAUUAGAAUGCAUUCCUGUUUACAACAAUCUUCUCAUAUUUUUUUUCUUUAAACAACAAGUAACAUGUGAUUUUCCUAUCUCAAGCACAGUGUUCCCAGGAAAAGGCUCCGGAUCCACCUCGACCCUGACCAGGAUAAGUGCAUAAUGAAAAUGAAUGUAUAAAAAAAACUCCUUAAAAAAGCUAACAACUAGUGUCAUGAAUCCCCUUCAGUGCACAACACAUUUCCCUUCAGUGCUUCAUGUGCCUUUUGUUUUGCUUUCCU